rnacentral:lncRNA from 1 species
CCCUCUUUCCUCUUCUUUAUUCACGUAAGAAAAAUUCAAAUAGAGGAAUCUUCUUCAUCAUUCGAUUUUUCUCGUCGAUAGUUUCAGACCCGGAGAUUUAGAUUUGGGCAUAUCUAGAUAGUUGUAAUCUUCUUCAUCCUUCUGCUCUUUCUCAUUGUCGGGAUUAUCACCUAACAUCAUCCUCGUCGUCUUGAGGUUCGCAUCUCCAUCAUCCUUUUUUUGUAGGUCCACUAGAGGAAGAAAUUGAAUUAUCGAAUGAACAGAAGAUGUUAAGACGCUAAGACGGUGAAAGAAGACAACAAAGAUAUGAAAACUCUUAGCUUUUUUGUAGUUGUAAUGUAGUUUUUCUAAAAUUAUCCCUUAGUAUAUAUUUCUAGUUUUAUUUGAUUGUUGUUUUUAGUUUUAGCUGUACGGUGAUUAUUUAAAUAAACUUUCAUUUUCUUUU